rnacentral:rRNA from 1 species
UACGUAGGGUGCAAGCGUUGUCCGGAAUUAUUGGGCGUAAAGAGCUGUAGCGGUUUGUCGCGUCUGCGUGAGCGAUUCGGACUCCAGCCGACUGCGUGGGUACGGGCAGACUAGAGUGUGGUAGGGGAGACUGGAAUUCCGUGGUGUAGCGGUGAAAUGCGCAGAUAUCAGGAGGAACACCGAUGGCGAAGGCAGGUCUCCUGGGCAUUAACUGACGCUGAGGAGCGAAAGCAUGGGGAGCGAACAGG